CCCUAGCCCCGAUAGCAGCGAAAUCCUCCCGAUUUUUCUUCGGGAGAUUGAAACGAAUAGCGGGGCACGAG
rnacentral:sRNA from 1 species